GCCAAGGGUUGGGGCGUCCCCGUCCAUCCGGCCCCAUCGCAACGCCGAAGCCGGAGGACAGGAGCGGGAGCCUGGCAGCGAGCGCAACCCCCUACGAGACAACCGAGAAUCCCCCCCCAGCGCCUCCACGUCCCACAGGGGACCCUCUCCGGUGCCCCCACGUCACCACUGGGAGCCUGGUGGCACUGGGAGGUGCCGGCUGAGCCGGACUGGGGCCGGUGGAGCUGAGUCGGGCUGAGCCAAACUGGGCCAAAGUGAGCCAGGCUGAGCCGGGCUGAACUUUGCCGGGCUGAGCCGCGGUGGGUGAGCGUGGCGCCGGCAGGAGCAGGAAGCGGAGCGUGGCGGCGGCCCAGCCCAGACACCUCCUCGGGUCCGGCCAAACCAGUUCUGGCGGCCGCUCCCAGCUCCACCUCACCGCGCUGGCAUCCAGGCCGGGGCGGCCGCGCCGGCAGGCCGGGGGCGAGGGAGCCGGCACCCUCGCCCGCCGUGGGAACUGCCCCGAGCCCGCCUGCCGGCACGGCCCCCCACACCGCGGCGUCACCCCUCGCCUCCGCCCGGCCGUCGGUGCCCGGUGCCGGCGCCCACGCGGUGCUGCAGCGCUCGGGGGGGACGCGUGGACGCCGGCCAGCGCUCCGGUUUCGGCCCCAAAAAGAUUUGGAACAGGGCUGCGGGAUGUGCACGGCCGUGGGCCAGCCCUGCCACGGCACGGCACGGCUCGGCACGGCUCGGCACGGCUCGGCGCGGCCGGCCCCGCCACCGGUCUCCUGGGCCAGGCAGGGGCAGGCACAGCCCGGCCACGGCGGCGUGGGGCCGUCCGGCACGCGGCACACGUAACACACGCACGGCGCCCACAGCCGCGCCGGCAGCGCUCGGUGGCCACGGGCGUGCACGCACCAGGCCCCGCCGUUCCCGGAAUGCCGCACGGGGCCGGGUUAAUCAUUCACCCGCUGCCCGUCCCUGUCCCCGUCCCUGUCCCCCGCCUCCCGGCCAGCUCGGGGUCCAAGUCCACGGCCGGGCAGGACCGAUGCCAUCACGCGGCUGCCACCACCAUCCCCAUCCCAUCAUUCCAUCCUUGUCCCUGCCACGUCCCGGUCCCUGCCACGUCCCCGUCCCUGCCCCGGCCGUCCCGCCGGUAUGAACCCUCCGUUCCAUCCCCGCUCCCCUGCCCUGGCUGUGCCGGAGGGGCCGGG
rnacentral:lncRNA from 1 species